rnacentral:rRNA from 1 species
UGGGCAACCUGCCCCUCUCUCUGGGAUAACCCCCGGGGAAACCGGAGCUAAUACCGGAUACUCCGGCUGGAUCGCAUGGUCCGGCCGGGAAAGGUCCGCCGGAGAGGGAUGGGCCCGCGGCCUAUCAGCUCGUUGGUGGGGUCAUGGCUCACCAAGGCGACGACGGGUAGCUGGUCUGAGAGGAUGGCCAGCCACAUUGGGACUGAGACACGGCCCAGACCUCCGUACGGGAGGCA